CCCAUGUGUGAGAGAGGGAAAGUGGUGUUGAUCCGGUGCCCCUUUGCUAAAAUCAAGAGCACCAAUGGGAGCGCCAUAGGACCCGAAGGCCGUGGUUGACAGGAAGGAAGAAACUGUGAAGAGGAGCACCAACGAGUCCACAAUGGAUGGGUAGUCUCCAGGGGAACGAGAUGGGGAAGGUCCAACCGACUCCUUGGAGAUGACAUAUGCGCCCCUGGGUCUUUUAUUGGAUAAAGAGUGCUUCCUCAACAGCGGUCAGGUGUUUUGGUCACUACAAGUAUUCAGGGGCAAGGUUCAUAGUCAUGUUGGGUGAGUUCAGGGAAUAUAAAGGCUGGUGACUUAGUUUUUAAGGGAUGGGGCUUUGACUGAUGGAAGAGUUAGGAGGACAGCUAUGGUUGGGACUGCUUAACAGUUUGUUUAAAUUGUUUGUAGUGGUUAGCAGGGAGGAUUAUAUAUUUAAUGCUAAUCUCAAUCUCAAGCUUGUUGGAAAUCCAUUGUUCUAAUUGUUUAUUUGUACCAUGCGGGAUUC